rnacentral:rRNA from 1 species
AACGGCUACCACAUCCAAGGAAGGCAGCAGGCGCGCAAAUUACCCAAUCCCGACACGGGGAGGUAGUGACAAUAAAUAACAAUAUAGGGCUCUUUUGGGUCUUAUAAUUGGAAUGAGUACAAUUUAAAUCCCUUAACGAGGAACAAUUGGAGGGCAAGUCUGGUGCCAGCAGCCGCGGUAAUUCCAGCUCCAAUAGCGUAUAUUAAAGUUGUUGCAGUUAAAAAGCUCGUAGUUGAACUUCAGGCCUGGUCGGGCGGUCUGCCUCACGGUAUGUACUGUCUGACUGGGUCUUACCUCUUGGUGAGCCGGCAUGCCCUUUACUGGGUGUGUCGGGGAACCAGGACUUUUACUUUGAGAAAAUUAGAGUGUUCAAAGCAGGCCUAUGCCCGAAUACAUUAGCAUGGAAUAAUAAAAUAGGACGUGCGGUUCUAUUUUGUUGGUUUCUAGAGUCGCCGUAAUGAUUAAUAGGGAUAGUUGGGGGCAUUAGUAUUCAGUUGCUAGAGGUGAAAUUCUUGGAUUUACUGAAGACUAACUUCUGCGAAAGCAUUCGCCAAGGAUGUUUUCAUUAAUCAAGAACGAAGGUUAGGGGAUCGAAAACGAUCAGAUACCGUUGUAGUCUUAACAGUAAACUAUGCCGACUAGGGAUCGGGCGAUCUCACUUUUAUGUGUCGCUCGGCACCUUACGAGAAAUCAAAGCUUUGGGUUCUGGGGGGAGUAUGGUCGCAAGGCUGAAA